GACGAACGCUGGCGGCGUGCCUAAUACAUGCAAGUAGAACGCUGAAGGAGGAGCUUGCUUCUCCGGAUGAGUUGCGAACGGGUGAGUAACGCGUAGGUAACCUGCCUGGUAGCGGGGGAUAACUAUUGGAAACGAUAGCUAAUACCGCAUAACAGUAGAUAUUGCAUGAUAUCUGCUUGAAAGGUGCAAUUGCAUCACUACCAGAUGGACCUGCGUUGUAUUAGCUAGUUGGUGGGGUAACGGCUCACCAAGGCGACGAUACAUAGCCGACCUGAGAGGGUGAUCGGCCACACUGGGACUGAGACACGGCCCAGACUCCUACGGGAGGCAGCAGGAGGGAAUCUUCGGCAAUGGACGGAAGUCUGACCGAGCAACGCCGCGGGAGUGAAGAAGGGUUUCGGAUCGGAAAGCUCGGUUGUAAGAGAAGAACGAGUGUGAGAGUGGAAAGUUCACACUGUGACGGUAUCUUACCAGAAAGGGACGGCUAACUACGUG
rnacentral:rRNA from 1 species